AACCUCUGUUUCCAGCCGCCGCCCAUUUCGUUCUCCUCUGUUUUCUGCACUGCCGCGCGACUCUCCGACCGCGUCUGUCUUCACCUCCGUGAAGCCGUCGAUGCAUACAUCUUGUGAAGCCCGGUCGCCGUGUCAGAUCGUCGAUCGAUUUUGAGGCAGCCGCCACGUCUCCUUUGGCCGACCGCUGACCGACCCACACUUAGGAUUUUUGCUGCGAGUUCGACAGUCGUGCGUUGAGGUGUUGGGAGUAACGUUGGGCUCCCUUAAAUUCACAACCAAUAUAUGAAUUGUUGAGGGUUCAGUUCGCCAAUACUUCGGAUUGUUUCGAGGACGUUAGUUGAUUAAGGAGCUUCCCUAACUUUGAGGUAAGGGAUUUUCUACUGGACUCACUUAUGAUUGUGAAUUGUAUGUCUGUAUGAUUGUCUCUGACUGAGUAAAGAUGUUGAGAUGAUAUAUAUAUAUACACGUAUGGAUGUAGAUUCGGUGUUGAAUGUAUACUGUGGAUUGACUGAAAA